AUGGCGCGGCCUGACUGCCCAGACAAGUGUGGUAACGUCAGCAUCCCGUACCCGUUCGGCACCGAGAAAGGCUGCUUCCAAGGACCCUUUAGUGUCACAUGCAAUGCCAGUGGGCCAUAUCUAGCUUCAACCAGAGUUAGGAUACUGGACAUCAAUCUUACCAUGGGUGAGAUUCGUGUUCUGAACCCACGUAUAGCAUGGGAAUGCAACUACACAGACGGCACCAAUAGCAACGGUUCGGAUGGGUUAAGACUUGAUCCUUUUCAUAAGCUUUCCAACACCAAGAACAAGUUGAUAUCGAUCGGUUGUGCUACACUUGGAUUUAUCGGAGGAAUGACCAAGGGCGAGAACCAGAUUUCGUUCCCCAUUGUUAACUCAUGCUUUUCAUUCUGCACUGACGCAAGUAGCAUGAAUGGUAGCACAGAGUGCGGUGGCAUGGGUUGCUGCCAAAUCCCCUUUCCAGGAAACAUCAGCUCCUUCCGCACCGGAUCUAGACCAUUGACAAUAUACGACUCUAGCACCCAGCCUUUCCGCCCGUGCAGCUACACAUUCGUUGCUGAGGAGGACUGGUUCAAGUUCAAUCAUUCAUAUAUCAUGUCUACAAAUUUCGCAACUAAAUAUACAGAUGGGGUCCCUUUGGUACUAGAUUGGGUUGUUGGUAAUAAAAGUUGUUCGGAAGCCACCAAGAUGGGAUCACAGUAUGCAUGCCAAGCCAUGAACAGUGAAUGCAUCGAUGUCUCCAAUGGCCCUGGUUACCGCUGCAACUGCUCUCAAGGUUAUGAGGGCAAUCCCUACCUACAAGGAGGGUGCCAAGAUAUCAAUGAGUGCGAACCUCCAAACCAGUCCUUCUACCCUUGCAAAGGUAAUUGCAGAAAUACCGACGGAAACUACGUCUGUCUCUGCCCAUCAGGAUUCAGGAGCGAUGAUCCCAAUAGCAUACCCUGCGUUCCAGCUGACCCAAAGAAAGCGCUGAAGGUUGUUUUAGGCAUAUUCUUCUGUGUUGUCUUCCUCAUGGUUUGUAUCUUUGCUCUACGGGCUGAGUAUCAGAAAAGGAAGCUUGCCAAAGAGAAGGACAAAUUCUUUGAUCAGAAUGGUGGUCAGAUAUUAUAUCGCCAAAUUAUGUCAAAAGAAGUCGACACAUUGAAGAUAUUUACACAAGAAGAUCUGAAGAAGGCUACAAACAAUUUUGACAAGAGCAAAGAACUGGGCAGGGGUGGUCAUGGCACUGUCUACAAGGGCAUUCUGAAGGAUGACAGGGUAGUGGCCGUCAAACGCUCAAAGAUAAUGAACGUGGCCGAAACUGAUGAAUUUGUGCAGGAGAUUAUUAUACUUUCACAGACCAACCACCGGAAUGUGGUCAGGCUUCUAGGGUGCUGCUUAGAGGUGGAAGUCCCCAUACUGGUCUAUGAAUUCAUCCCAAAUGGCACUCUAUUUGAGUUCAUCCAUCGUAGCUACGGGAGUCCACCGCCCUCGCUGGACACCCGUCUCAGGGUCGCUCAAGAAUCCGCCGAAGCACUGGCAUAUUUGCAUCUGUCCAUGAACCACCCUAUAGUGCACGGGGAUGUCAAGUCUAUGAACAUUCUCUUGGACGACAACUACAUGGCGAAGGUGACUGACUUUGGGGCGUCAAGGAUGCUCCCCAAGGACGCGGCCCAGUUCAUGACGAUGGUGCAGGGCACCCUGGGUUACCUGGACCCCGAGUACCUGCAAGAGCGACAGCUCACGGAGAAGAGUGAUGUCUACAGUUUCGGGGUCGUGCUGCUGGAGCUGAUCACAGGGAAGACGGCGAUCUAUAACGAUGGGCCCAAUGAAGGCAAGAGCCUCGUGCGGUCCUUCCUGCUCGCGAUGAAGGAGGACAGCCUAGAGGACAUCCUGGACCCGAGCAUCGUGCGCGCAGGGACGGCGACGCUGCUGGGGGAAGUGGCCGCGCUGGGGAGGAUGUGCUUGGGUCCCAUGGGUGAAGAGAGGCCAUCCAUGACCGAGGUGGCCGACAGGCUGAAGGCUCUGCGAAGCACCUGGAGGGAAGAGCUGGUGCUGGACCGUGCCGUGACGGAAAAUAUGGUCGUGCACAUGCCACCUGCGGCAGCUCCGAUGCCUUUGGAUCUCGCGUCAUCGUCCUCGGGAGCCCCCUCGACGGUGCCGUACAUGUCCGGAAUGGGCAUGGAGUCUCUCAGAUGA
rnacentral:rRNA from 1 species